AUACUUUCCUGGCAUAGGGAACACAGUGAUCAUGAAGGCGGUUCCCCCAGAGCGAGGCUUGUCCAUUGUACUGCUGACGGGUUGACCUCUGUGAUUGUCCCUAAUUCGGAAAACUCGGGGUAAAAACUUAACUUAUCUGUGAGAAGUUUGUUUGAACAGGUA